AGUAAAGGAGAUUUGCGCAAAAUCAAAGAGAGAGCGAGUAAGCUAAUCACACCGACGUGUAGUGAAAGAGGAGAAAUAGUUACUUUUUUCUCGAGGCUAGAACAAAAGUAAUCUAUCGGGUACUACUUAGCUUCGUUAUAAAUAUUUCGG
rnacentral:lncRNA from 1 species